rnacentral:rRNA from 1 species
GGAUUUGUGGUGUGUCCAGUUGGCCUUUGCUCUUUGAGUGAUAGUGCUUUACUGGUCUGCCAUGUUUGGGUGGAAUCUGUGUGGCAUUAAGUUGUCGUGCAGGGGAUGCCCAUCGUUUACUGUGAAAAAAUUAGAGUGUUCAAAGCAGGCUUAUGCCUCUGAAUAUAUUAGCAUGGAAUAAUGAUAUAGGACCUUGGUACUAUUUUGUUGGUUUGCGCACUGAGGUAAUGAUUAAGAGGGACAGUUGGGGGUAUUUGUAUUCCAUUGUCAGAGGUGAAAUUCUUGGAUUUUUGGAAGACAAACUACUGCGAAAGCAUUUACCAAGGAUGUUUUCAUUAAUCAAGAACGAAAGUUAGGGGAUCGAAGAUGAUUAGAUACCAUCGUAGUCUUAACCAUAAACUAUGCCGACAAGGGAUUGGUGGAGUUUCGUUUCGUCUCCAUCAGCACCUUGUGAGAAAUCAUAAGUCUUUGGGUUCCGGGGGGAGUAUGGU